rnacentral:rRNA from 1 species
UACGGGGGGGGCAAGCGUUGUUCGGAAUUACUGGGCGUAAAGCGUGCGCAGGCGGUUUUGUAAGUUUGUCGUGAAAGCCCCGGGCUCAACCUGGGAAUUGCGAUGAAGACUGCAAGGCUUGAAUCUGGCAGAGGGGGGUAGAAUUCCACGUGUAGCAGUGAAAUGCGUAGAGAUGUGGAGGAACACCGAUGGCGAAGGCAGCCCCCUGGGUCAAGAUUGACGCUCAUGCACGAAAGCGUGGGGAGCAAACAGGG